rnacentral:rRNA from 1 species
GGGUUGUGAGGUUAAGCGACUAAGCGUACACGGUGGAUGCCCUGGCAGUCAGAGGCGAUGAAGGACGUGCUAAUCUGCGAUAAGCGUCGGUAAGGUGAUAUGAACCGUUAUAACCGGCGAUUUCCGAAUGGGGAAACCCAGUGUGAUUCGUCACACUAUCAUUAACUGAAUCCAUAGGUUAAUGAGGCGAACCGGGGGAACUGAAACAUCUAAGUACCCCGAGGAAAAGAAAUCAACCGAGAUUCCCCCAGUAGCGGCGAGCGAACGGGGAGCAGCCCAGAGCCUGAAUCAGUGUGUGUGUUAGUGGAAGCGUCUGGAAAGGCGCGCGAUACAGGGUGACAGCCCCGUACACAAAAAUGCACAUGCUGUGAGCUCGAUGAGUAGGGCGGGACACGUGGUAUCCUGUCUGAAUAUGGGGGGACCAUCCUCCAAGGCUAAAUACUCCUGACUGACCGAUAGUGAACCAGUACCGUGAGGGAAAGGCGAAAAGAACCCCGGCGAGGGGAGUGAAAAAGAACCUGAAACCGUGUACGUACAAGCAGUGGGAGCACAGAGCAAUCUGUGUGACUGCGUACCUUUUGUAUAAUGGGUCAGCGACUUAUAUUCUGUAGCAAGGUUAACCGAAUAGGGGAGCCGAAGG